rnacentral:lncRNA from 1 species
UUUCUUCUUCUUCAAUCAAACAACAAAACAACUCAUCAUCCAUUCUAUCAUUUCUUCUUCUUCAAUCAAACAACAAAACAACUCAUCAUGGAUACUAAAUCAGAUGCAACACAACAACAAUCACAAAUCCUAAAUUUCACAUAGAAUCCAACAAGCCCUUACUACCACCACCUAGGUGAGAAUCCACAGAUAUUUUAGUAUCUUCUCUCUUAGAUGGGGAAAUUACCAUUCGUUGAGCAUAUCCAUAAAGAAAGUUCUUCUGUCCAAUAACAAAUUCAAAUUUGUCAAUGAAAUAAUAGAGAUACCACAACAAAUAGACCCAAUCAUCAACUCUUGGGAAAGAUGCAAUAUUAUGGUCAUUUACCCAACAAAUUUCUCAAAGAACCAUCUAUAUAGGCAAUUUA